rnacentral:rRNA from 1 species
AGCAGCCGCGGUAAUUCCAGCUCCAAUAGCGUAUAUUAAAGUUGUUGCAGUUAAAAGCUCGUAGUUGAAUUUUGGAUUCUUCCAAUUGGUCCAUCUUUUAGAUGAGUACCGGUUGUGUGGGGUCUAUCCGCCUGGUGAUACGUAAUGUCCUUUAUUGGAUGUUGCGGGUAGUCAGGACCUUUACCUUGAAAAAAUUAGAGUGUUUAAAGCAGGCUUAUGCCGGAAUACAUUAGCAUGGAAUAAUAGAAUAGGACGAAGUUGUUUUAUUUUGUUGGUUUCUAGGACAACCGUAAUGAUUAAUAGGGAUAGUUGGGGGCAUUAGUAUUCAAUUGUCAGAGGUGAAAUUCUUGGAUUUAUUGAAGACUAACUACUGCGAAAGCAUUUGCCAAGGAUGUUUUCAUUAAUCAAGAACGAAAGUUAGGGGAUCGAAGACGAUCAGAUACCGUCGUAGUCUUAACCAUAAACUAUGCCGACUAGGGAUCGGGCGAUGUUGUUUCCAUGACUCGCUCGGCACCCUAUG